UUAAUUAUAUAAGUUUUGUGAUUGUUGGAAUUUAGUAGGCUUGUAAUCAGCCAUCAUUUAUUUCGUUAUAGAAUAUUUUCUGAUUGUAUUUAUUUAAUUUUCUUUAUUUUUUUACUUGAAUAAUCUAAUUAAUUAAUAUUUUUAUGUUAUAAUGAUUAAAUUAGUAUUUUAGUUAAUUAAAUUAUAGGAACUCGGCAAAUUUAGUGUUCGCCUGUUUAACAAAAACAUGUCCUUUUGUUUAUUUAUUUAAGGUCUGACCUGCCCAAUGAGGAAUUCAAUGGCCGCAGUAUUUUAACUGUGCUAAGGUAGCAUAAUCAUUUGUCUUUUAAUUGAGGGCUGGAAUGAAAGGUUGGACGAGAUAUAAGCUUUCUUUAAUUUAAUUUUAAGAAUUUAAUUUUUGAGUUAAAAAGCUUAAAUUUGUUUGUUGGACGAGAAGACCCUAUAGAUCUUUAUAAUUUUAUAUUUUAAUAAUUUAGUGGUUAUGUUUAUUAUAAGUGGAAUAAUUAUUUGGUUGGGGUGACUGUAGAAUUUUAUUAACUUCUAUUGUUUUGAUUUCAUUAAUUGGUGUUUUUUUGAUCCAUAUUUUUAUGAUUAUAAGAUUAAGUUACCUUAGGGAUAACAGCGUAAUUUUUUCGGAGAGUUCAUAUUGAUGAAGAAGUUUGCGACCUCGAUGUUGGAUUAAAAUAAGUUAUGGAUGCAGGAGUC
rnacentral:rRNA from 1 species